AGAUGUGCAGGUGAUCGGCCUGUGACAUCUGUCACCUCACUGACCAGGCUUAAUUCAGCUGAUCUGGCUGGCUAUGAGGGUGUCCCCUUCCUCCCUCACCGCUCCAUGUGAGGUGAGAAAGCUCCAAAGCUGCGUGCUCGGUCGAAGAGGAUGGCCUUCCCCAGUUACACACAGGUAGGUCUUUGGUGGAGGAUAUAUGAGUAGCACUCAAUUUUCUAAAUGUCUUUUCUGAAAAGGCUUUCUAUAAAGACUACCAAAGCUGUCACUGAUGAAUGUGGUCAAUAGCC
ensembl:misc_RNA 7SK 7SK RNA